UACGUAGGGUGCAAGCGUUAAUCGGAAUUACUGGGCGUAAAGCGUGCGCAGGCGGUUUGUAAGUUUGUCGUGAAAUCCCCGGGCUCAACCUGGGAAUGGCGAUGAAGACUGCAAGGCUAGAGUUUGGCAGAGGGGGGUAGAAUUCCACGUGUAGCAGUGGAAAUGCGUAGAUAUGAUGGAGGAACACCGAUGGCGAAGGCAGCCCCUGGGUCAAAACCUGACGCUCAUGCACGAAAGCGUGGGGAGCAAACAGG
rnacentral:rRNA from 1 species